CGCCUGGGAGGGGGCAGGUAGGGCGGGGAGGGGCGGGGCCGCGGGGGGAGGCCUGCUGGGGCCUCGUGCCCCAGACUCUAGGGGUGCCCUGGCACCUGGCCAGGCUGCGGGGAGGGGCCAGGCACAGGGUGGCCAGGAGCCCAGACUCCCUGAUCUCAGCGCCUGGAGCCCGGGGGACGCCCCGCCCCCAUCUCAGAACUGUGACGCGGAAGAAAGUUGAUGAGACCCCGGCGUUCUCUGGGCAGCAAAGGUACGAGAAAACGUUGAAAGAAAACCAUCGAUCAUUGGAAAAACACAACCCAGAGUUUCUUACUGCAGACUUGCACUGAAAGAAAGUGUAGAAGUGUUCGUGAGCCCGAAGGAAAAGGAAGCCCCUUGGAAGUGAAGGAUCCAGGAAUGAGAGAAAUCCUGGUGAACACGUGGUAAUUCCUAACUAACGCUGGUUUUGUAGCAUUAAUUAAUUGUGUCUUGUGGGAGACAAAUUGAUAGAGGGAGAAUGGAAAGUUACAAGGCAGAGCCAAGGGCUGAGCUGAGCACAGCUGCAUAGCCUGCGGGGGGAGGGGGUGGCGCAGGUGUCCUGGAUGCCACCCCAGCGAGGCCUCUCCAGCCAGUGACUGUCCCCUCUCCACACCUCCAAAGAGAGUCUCCACUUCUAAACUAGGAGUGGGAAUAACAAAAAAA